rnacentral:rRNA from 1 species
AUUGAACGCUGGCGGCAGGCCUAACACAUGCAAGUCGAGCGAGCGGCAGACGGGUGAGUAAUGUCUGGGACACUGCCUGAUGGAGGUGGAUAACUACUGGAAACGGUAGCUAAUACCGCAUACCAUCAGCAUUGCCCAGAUGGGAUUAGCUUGUUGGUGGGGGAACGGCUCACCCAGGCGACGAUCCCUAGCUGGUCUGAGUGGAUGACCAGCCACAUUGGAACUGAGACACGGUCCAGACUCCUACGGGAGGCAGCAGUGGGGAAUAUUGCACAAUGGGCGCAAGCCUGAUGCAGCCAUGCCGCGUGUAUGAAGAAGGCCUUCGGGUUGUAAAGCACUUUCAGCGGGGAGGCGUUACCCGCAGAAGAAGCACCGGCUAACUCCGUGCCAGCAGCCGCGGUAAUUC